CAAAAACCACACAAGUGAAUCAAACCAAAAGAAAUUUAACAAAAUUAUUCUCUAAUGGCAAAUCACAUCUCAAGUUCUUCAUUUUUCUUUCUCAUCCUGAUUUUAAUUUCUACAAUUGAAUUGAUCGUAGUAGAAAGUUACUGCUCACAAUUUUUGGGUUCGUGUAAGAAUAUUGACUGUGAUAAGGAAUGUAAAGGAUUAUACAGCGAAGGAAAGGGAACAUGUUAUUUUCAUAAUAUAUGUCAAUGUUUUUAUGUACCUCCAAGUAGAGACUUGAGAAUGUGCACUCUUAUGUUUGGAGAUUGCAAUGGUUGUGAUAACUCUUGUUGCAAUGCAAGAUGUUCCAAAAACUUAAAAGAUGGUAUUGGAAAAUGUACUUAUCCCUUUGAUGAUGGUAAGGGUAAGGCAUGCGUUUGUAACUAUACUCCUUCAUAAUAAGGGAGAUGUAUUAGUGUUUAAUAAUACUUCAAAUGAAUGCAUCUUAAUAAUGAAAACAUAUUAGUGUUUAAUAAUA